GCUCAACUCAUUGAGUUCCUCCAGCAGGUUGUUACAACAGUCAAAAGACUAUCACGGUGAGCACUGGUAACGACUGAAGCCAGGUGCGAGCAACAGCAGACUCCCAUGUUGAGAUGGAAGCAAAAGGUUAUACGUAGGAAUCCCAGCAGAGCAUCGGUGGCAUGACCAAGCAAGUCAUCCUCAGCAGAAGGACUCCAUGACCUGAGCUAAUCAGGAGUCCAAACUAAAUCAUUCUAGAAAGCGGAAAACCCAUUUACAUUGUGGGAUUGUAAAAAAUGGCCCCAUAUUCCGAGUGGAAAGACCGAAAAUGGCAGAAG